AACGACAACAACUCCUUUAUGUAUUAAACGUAAAUGUUAAAAAAGUGAAAAAACAGUUCAGUGACUGAGUGCUUGUCAGCCUUUGCGGACACUAUUUCCAUUUUUAUACUUAAUACAAUAUAUUCUCUUUUUUUUUUAAAUUUUGUUUCUAAAAAAACAGUUCUUCAUUUUCCAAUUCCGCGAGUUUUAAUUCACUUUAUUUAUAAAUUUCCAAGCCUUGUUUUGAUAUAAAAACAAAUUCACCAAUGACUUCACUCUAGGGAUGAAUAAACAUUUGGUCUGCUGUUGUUGUUGACAUUGGUACAUCAUGAGGAUUAUUUUUAUACGAAAUCUUUGUUGUUGCUGUUUAAGUUAAGAUCCUCGUUAAUGCAUAUUGCAAAGUAUUGUCCAUACACAUGGUUCUUUGGUGAUUCAAGUGUGUACGAUAGGAUAUUAUAUCUAUAAAAAAGAAAAGACGCAUAUUCUAACGCCAUCUGAUUUUGAUCUGGAAUUUGAAAAUCAUCCAUUAUUUAUCACCAAAA
rnacentral:lncRNA from 1 species